rnacentral:rRNA from 1 species
UGUAGUCAUAUGCUUGUCUCAAAGAUUAAGCCAUGCAUGUCUAAGUAUAAGCAAUUAUACCGCGAAACUGCGAAUGGCUCAUUAUAUAAGUUAUCGUUUAUUUGAUAAUACUUUACCACUUGGAUAACCGUGGUAAUUCUAGAGCUAAUACAUGCUAAAAAUCCCGACUUCGGAAGGGUUGUAUUUAUUAGAUUAAAAACCAAUGCCCCUCGGGGCUCUCUGGUGAAUCAUGAUAACUAGUCGAAUCGACAGGCCUUGUGCCGGCGAUGGCUCAUUCAAAUUUCUUCCCUAUCAACUUUCGAUGUUUGGGUAUUGGCCAAACAUGGUGGCAACGGGUAACGGAGGGUUAGGGCUCGACCCCGGAGAAGGAGCCUGAGAAACGGCUACUACAUCCAAGGAAGGCAGCAGGCGCGCAAAUUACCCAAUCCCGACACGGGGAGGUAGUGACAAUAAAUACUGAUACAGGGCUCUUUUGGGUCUUGUAAUCGGAAUGAGUACAAUUUAAAUCCCUUAACGAGGAACAAUUGGAGGGCAAGUCUGGUAAUCG